GGGGAUAUAGCUCAGGCGGUUAGAGCGCUUCGCUGAUAACGAAGAGGUCCGAGGUUCAAGUCCUCGUAUCCCCACCAUUC
rnacentral:tRNA from 1 species